rnacentral:rRNA from 1 species
AAUCAACGCUGGCGGCGUGCCUAACACAUGCAAGUCGAACGGGAAGGGGGCUUCGGCCCCCGGAGAGUGGCGUACGGGUGAGUAACACGUGGGUAAUCUGCCUUUGGGUGGGGAAUAACGUUCCGAAAGGGACGCUAAUACCGCAUAACGCAGCGGCACCGCAUGGUGACAGUUGUUAAAGGGGGGGACCUCGCAAGAGACCUCUCGCCUGAAGAGGAGCCCGCGCCCGAUUAGCUAGUUGGUGAGGUAACGGCUCACCAAGGCUACGAUCGGUAGCCGGCCUGAGAGGGCGGUCGGCCACACUGGCACUGAGACACGGGCCAGACUCCUACGGGAGGCAGCAGUGGGGAAUUUUGGGCAAUGGGCGAAAGCCUGACCCAGCAACGCCGCGUGAAGGACGAAAUCCCUCCGGGAUGUAAACUUCGAAAGUCAGGAAAGAAAUCCGUAAGGGGAAUAUCCUUACGGGAUGACGGUACCUGACGUAAGCCCCGGCUAACUACGUGCCAGCAGCCGCGGUAAUACGUAGGGGGCAAGCGUUGUUCGGAAUUACUGGGCGUAAAGGGCGCGUAGGCGGCACAGCAAGUCGGGAGUGAAAGCCCGGGGCUCAACCCCGGAACUGCUUUCGAAACUGCUGAGCUAGAGUACAGAAGGGGCAACUGGAAUUCCCAGUGUAGCGGUGAAAUGCGUAGAUAUUGGGAAGAACACCUGAGGCGAAGGCGGGUUGCUGGGCUGAUACUGACGCUGAGGCGCGAAAGCCAGGGGAGCAAACGGGAUUAGAUACCCCGGUAGUCCUGGCCCUAAACGAUGGAUACUUGGUGUAUGGGGUUCUCAAAGUCCCCGUGUGCCGGAGCUAACGCGGUAAGUAUCCCGCCUGGGGAGUACGGUCGCAAGGCUG